AGUGAACGCUGGCGGCGUGCCUAACACAUGCAAGUCGAACGAGAACGGUACUAGCUUGCUAGUAUGUCAGCUAAGUGGCGGACGGGUGAGUAAUGUAUAGCUAACGUGCCCUUUAGAGGGGGAUAGCCACUGGAAACGGUGAUUAAUACCCCAUAUUCCUUCUUACUUAAUGUAAGUUGGGAAAUGUUUUUUCGCUAAAGGAUCGGGCUAUAUCGUAUCAGGUAGUUGGUGGGGUAAGAGCCUACCAAGCCAAUGACGCGUAACUGGUUUGAGAGGAUGAUCAGUCACACUGGAACUGAGACACGGUCCAGACUCCUACGGGAGGCAGCAGUGGGGAAUAUUGCACAAUGGGGGGAACCCUGAUGCAGCAACGCCGCGUGGAGGAUGACGCAUUUCGGUGUGUAAACUCCUUUUAUAUAGGAAGAUAAUGACGGUACUAUAUGAAUAAGCACCGGCUAACUCCG
rnacentral:rRNA from 1 species